rnacentral:rRNA from 1 species
CCUACGGGGGGCUGCAGUGGGGAAUAUUGGACAAUGGGGGGAACCCUGAUCCAGCCAUGCCGCGUGUGUGAAGAAGGCCCUCGGGUUGUAAAGCACUUUCAGUGAGGAAGAACGCCUGGUGGUUAAUACCCAUCAGGAAAGACAUCACUCACAGAAGAAGCACCGGCUAACUCCGUGCCAGCAGCCGCGGUAAUACGGAGGGUGCGAGCGUUAAUCGGAAUUACUGGGCGUAAAGCGCGCGUAGGUGGCUUGAUAAGCCGGUUGUGAAAGCCCCGGGCUCAACCUGGGAACGGCAUCCGGAACUGUCAAGCUAGAGUGCAGGAGAGGAAGGUAGAAUUCCCGGUGUAGCGGUGAGAUGCGUAGAGAUCGGGAGGAAUACCAGUGGCGAAGGCGGCCUUCUGGACUGACACUGACACUGAGGUGCGAAAGCGUGGGUAGCAAACAGGAUUAGAUACCCGUGUAGUC